GAUGAACGCUGGCGGUGUGCCUAAUACAUGCAAGUCGAGCGAACGGACGGUAAGCGCUUGCUCUUGCGGGUGGCGAGUGGCGGGCGGGUGAGGCGUGGAUAAGCAUCUUAUUAUUCGUGGAGGACUUCGGGAAAACGGUGCCGCUAAUGCCGAAUACUAUCUACUGCUUGGAUCAAAAGUGCUUCACGGCUUUCGCGUUUCUUUGAGAUGGUGUCGCGCUGCAUUAGCUAGUUGGUAAGGUAACGGCUUACCAAGGCUACGAUGCAUAGCCGACCUGAGAGGAUGAUCGGCCACACUGGAACUGAGACACGGUCCAGACUCCUACGGGAGGCAGCAGUAGGGAAUAUUGCGCAAUGGGCGAAAGCCUGACGGAGCAACGCCGCGUGAGUGAUGAAGGUCUUCGGAUCGUAAAACUCUGUUAUUAGGGAAGAACAUAUGUGUAAGUAACUGUGCACAUCUUGACGGUACCUAAUCAGAAAGCCACGGCUAACUACGUG
rnacentral:rRNA from 1 species